UUGCCGUACUGGAGCACGUUCCAUCUGGCAGAAGCAUGUAGCCAUUCAGACAGUAGCACUUGUAGCUGCCGUAGGUAUUCAUGCACCGGUGUUUGCAUGGCCGGGGCUUCAGUCCACACUCGUUUAGAUCUUGAUUGCACGUUUUUCCAGUGUAUCCUGGGUGGCACUUGCACUUGUUUGGCCCAAUGCAUUCACCGUGUUUGCAUCCUGGUUGGCAUAUAGGUUGGCACUGUCUCCAGGCCAAACGGGCCCAGCCCCAGCAGCAAUCAAUUCUGCUUCCAUACCGGCACAGUCCUGCAGAGGAGACUAUUUGUCUGGGCCACCUUCUGUCAAACUCUCCGGCCGCCCCCAGGGAGAGGCAGGAGGCCAGCAGCAGCCGCACGGAGAGCUCCAUGGCCGGCGGGGCACCCCAGCGACGCGAGCCGGCCGCUGCGGAGGGAACGGCGGUGCUAGAGGCGGGCCGCGGUGCUGAGGGUGCUACGGCUGCCGCACGCCCCGGCUGCGCCGCGAGAGCUCCGGAGCAGCGCUAAGGCAGCAAGCCCCUCUGCGCUGCCGCCCGCCUCGCUGCCGGGCGGAGGGAG
rnacentral:lncRNA from 1 species